AUGUAGCUCAAUUGGUAGAGUACUUGCCUAAUAUGCAGGAAGUCCUGGGUUCAGUUCCCAGCAU
rnacentral:tRNA from 1 species